AAGACUAUACUUUCAGGGGUCAUUUCUAUAGUUCAUUACUGGAGAAAGUGUCUCUGAACCUGUAGAGCACCUAACACGU
rnacentral:snoRNA from 1 species